GUGCUAACUUCAACAACACAUAUACUAAAAAAUUGGAAUGAUACAGAGAUUAGCAUGGCCCCUGUGCAAGGAUGACAAGCUUUACAAAUUUUU
ensembl:snRNA U6 U6 spliceosomal RNA